rnacentral:lncRNA from 1 species
CAGAGGCUCCUUCCUGCCCCGCCCACCACCCUGCUUCAACAUAUCAGUUGUCAUUAGGAACUUCUUUCUCUUAACGAGAAGCUUCAGGCUUUUGUGUUUGUGGUCCUGUGUUAAAAGCUUGCUAAACGCGCGUUAAAAGCGAUUUUUUCACCCCUAUCGAGUAAGUUUAUCGCUUCUUUCGGAAUGCGCUGAAAGGCUCAACGCGCUCGUAUCUAGGUCGGGGGUAAUUCAACUGUAUAAGCAAGGCUCGGGAUAUGGGGAUAUGGAUUUCACCUUAUGGGGAAUAGGCUGAAAGAGCAACAGGCAACCAAGACUUAUGAAGUGCGUUCAGGCUCACUUUACACUAAAAAAAUGGGAACCCUAGUUCGAAAUAUGAAACGACGUUUGCAACAGGAGAGUCGGCGAAGGGAUCAACAGUCUUCCUUCAGUAAAGGCCCAUCCAGGUGUCUUCGCCCACCUUUACAUAUGCGAUUGUUCGCUCGACCUGGCUGCCCAGUUACGAAAUAUAUAGCUAUAAAAAAAGCUAGAAAUAGAACUCAACUUAGUUGCUCAGUCUCUAGGAAUUCCCAAGCGUUAGCGAAGAAAGAAGCCUACUUGAAGAAGGCUGCCAAGAGGAGCAAGCCCACAUCGAGCAAGUUGACUUACUUUAUGUUAUGUAAAGAGUUCGCUAUUACGGCCCAGUUCUUCCACGAGCGAAGGCCCGUCAAAUUGGUCUCAAAGAUUUUCAAGGAAACCCAACCCCUUCCUCUCUUCCCCUCCUUCUAUCCAAAGAAACUUUCCCAGCUGUAGUAGCUGUUCUCUUCCCUUCCAUCGAUUGAGCUUUCUCUCGCUUAAUUCAAUAGGGCCUUAGUAGACCGGUUUUAAUUCGACAACUCGAUCGCUUCUUCCUUUGCUGGAAUUGCCAUCUUUGCUGCUCUCGGCUUCUGAAUUCGUACCUUUCAAUAGCCAGUCUAGAAGCCCUAAUGUUGUAAGGCACGUGACUGCAUUCCUAAAUUCUAUCUCUGCUUCCUUCACUGCUUCCCGAAACUGACCUGCUUACACUGCACUGCUUCUUCCAACAAUACUGGAAGUGGGGCUGCCCUAUAUGGUCAAGCCAAGCAAAAAGGGAGUUUCCUCUUUGUAUCCUCUAGUCUCAAGAGUUUCUUUCAUCUUCGAUAGUCUGGAGAUAGUGCAUUAGCCUCCGUUGACCAAUUUGAAGCUUAUGAAAUCUCUUUCACAAAGAAGAGUCUUCAAUACUCAUUUUCUUUUUCAAGUGACCGUAUGGGUGGUCUAUCAAGACGAUAACAUAUCCCCCAAAUAGUGGCUUAGAAUUGAAAUGCGAAUAUAGCAAAAAACCAUUAAUGAAAAUCACUUUUCACUCUAGAAGUCCUCAAUGGAAGCUAUUCAAAUUUCGCAGAAUAUUGCUUAGUGCUCGACCUACUUAAUGGGAUACCGGUUGAGAAUUAGGCCAAUUUCCUAUUCGGGAAAGCAGACUCAUUCGUUGUCUUAACAAGUUUGAGGCCAUUAUCUCUACUUGAGCAAUCAUUAAUUUAUUUUGAUAAAAAAAGUGAUACCCAGACCGGACGACUUCUAGCCCAGGUCCUACUACCAGUCCGGAGACAAUUGAAUUACCUUCUUAUCAUAUCGAGCCUUUGUCACGAUUUCAAGUAAUGAGUUCGGGCUUCUGUCUGUUAAGGUCUCUCUGAACAGAGCUCCACAACUAUCAAAGGAAUCUCCCCUGACAGAAAGGAGUCCCACAGUUGAUUGAGAGUUUCGAGAAUCUUCGAUAGGAGAAAGAAAAGCAUUAGCCAGUACCAGUACCUGAAUAAGCAGCAGUUGUUUCGACAGCUUGGAUUGGAAUCUCGAAUUCUCAACGGUAAUCCCCCUCUAUUUUCAUCUCGACAUGAAAAGUCAGAGGGACUGAAAGACUCAUAAGGUUAUAGUGCGGGAUCAGUUCCAUUUUCAUAGUUAAAUAAUCUAAUCUACUUCAAAUAAAGACAAAAGGGAAUCCACGGUGACAGAGAAAGAUGAAGCAAAGAAAGCGCAUAGCGUGGCACCCCGUAACAAUGGAAUUGAGCUUGGCCCUGUCUCGGCCUUAAUAAGCAGUUGAAUCCUCUGCAUGAGGAAGUCACCUCGACAUCUUAGAAUGUCGGUAUCGAGGAAAGACAGAAAUAUGGGUUAAUCAACAGUUCCCAACAGAGAUAGAUUUUGUGAAUCUACAGACAGAUAUGGUUUUUGAACUGAGCCUGUUCCCACUCGUAUACCAGCCAAAGUUAGGUAAAGAGGGUUUCUUUGGCUUCUGAACUUAAAAGUCUCUUCUUUCUCUUAGGGGAAGCCCAAAGCUAGCUAUCUCUUCCUUGCUCGACUUCCCGACUUGCCUUCAUGAAUCAAAGUUUAGCCCGAUGAAUGACAGGUUUGCCUUGUGUUGGGACGGUAGGCAAGGUUCGGUACUCAGUUCCAGGCGGUUUGUUUUCCAGUAAGGUACUCAAUCAAGCCGUUCAAGCAAGCGGAUCGUAGAAAAACCACUUCUCUUGUGUGUCCUCCUUCUCAUGGGAGUAGGCACCAGUCUCAGGGAAAGCGGCAGGGGCUUCGGCUGUUGGAAACCCGGACACUGCUCCUGCGCAAUCAGAGAAAGAAGAAAGGUAAUCCAUCUCGACAUUCUGAGGGCUAACUCCUAAAGCAAUCACGGUAAGUUCACUUCGGGAAUCAAUACAAUAAGAUCUUUUCACUCUUUUUCUCUAUCAGUCUACCCCCGUAGUCUUCCGAAGGUGUAUUAAGGGUAGAGCUUUACCCGGACCGCAAUUUCUGACGUGAGAAAGGAAUAGCGUAAGGUCCGACCUUUUUCAUCUAAGGGGUAAAUAAGCUGUUAGGACCGAGGGCAGCGGUUACAUCCCGGUAGUCAGCAACAGCGGUUCAGUGUCAAAUGAAAGCUAAGCGGGAAGGCUACUUCACUUCAGACAAUCAGGCAGAAGCAGCGGUGUCGGGUUCCUUCCUUUCGCCAAUAGACUAGACCAGCUACUACUACUACUACGAAAAGUAAGAGCUCAAACUCCUAAGCACCACUACUCCUAUAAAAAAAAGUUGCUUGCUUAUUCUAUUCUUCUGGAUGUGCUCCACAUUUCAUUCGCUUUCCUUUCACAUCGGUCUUACAAGGCCCUUUCUUUCUUCGGUGAGUUGCAAGAGGGGUUUUUUUUAUGGGGAUAGGUAAGGAAAGAUGACUUUGGGAGGAAUUCGGGAUCGGUCAUCGAGGGGGUAGUGGAUGGAGAUGACGACUAGUAGGAGAUGACAACUAAUGGAGCUAGCUUUCUUCUUUCUGCUGACUAAUCAUGGACUCAGAGCUAAACAACUAUGACUCGUAUGAUUUGCUAACACAACGGAUGGUUUCGAAAUAUUUCUCGCCGGGUUCUGGCGCUGUCCCCCGAGUUCGCCCGCUGAAUCUGCUGCUCGCUGAACAAGAUGCCUUCUCAGCAAUCAGUUCCAGUCCCUUGUCUUUCAUCAUUAUGCAUUCAACGCUUUCGAAUGAGUCGGUUCAAGCAACUCAUAAACCCAAUAUCAAAAGUUUCACCCAGGUAUACAUAUCCUUACCUCAUCUCUGGUUCAGGACCAACCAUGCACUCACAGCCACUACUCUCUUCUUAAGCUUGCAGUAGUGCCGUUGCUCUAGUAGUCCAACCAUGCAGUAGCAUACCAAUGCAGAUAUCGGAGAUGAUACUCCAUCCAUCUUUCAAAAAUCUUUCAAACAUGCAAUCUGCAUCGUCACCAUAGAAAGUACGAAUCCGAUCAAUUUCAACUUCAUUGAAGUUUGAUGGACGUACACGCUCCAUGAUAAACGCCCUUACCAUUCCAUACUGCUCUGCAGUCAACACUCCCAAAUCUGGAAAUGCUAACCAAAACUUCAAUGGUAAAGGAAGUCUGCCAGUCGGCGAAAACAUUAAGAGAUAAUGGCGCUUCCAACGUUUAGAUGUCGGAAGACCUUGACGUGAGUAGACCUUAUAAGAUCCACCGCGUAACCUGUACGAACACAGCAAAUUGACUCGCAGCUCCGAAAACAGGAAAGUGGAAACUCCAGAAGAGAGAGUACGGAGAACCCGAAGGGACACAGGACUAAAGUCAAGUGUAACCUUAUAGACCAUAAAUCUCUUAGCAAAUUCUAGAGCACUCACGUUAGGGACGGACUUUUCUUUUGAUAUGGUCACCUCACACUCCUCCAUAACCUCAAGAUAUGACUUCACGACUACUGGAUCCGCGAUGACAUUGUCAUCGCCCAGUAGAGCAUAAUCAAAGAACUUCACCCCAGGGCGUACCCUCCAUGCUGCAUACCACACCAGCAUAUGAUGCGUGAGUGUGCCAUGAACUGUAAAACCCUAGAGUAGAGGUUGCCCCUUUGUAAACCGGAAGACAUAUAAUUGGGCGAAGGCCCCUUUUCUGGUAACCGGAAGCCAAAAGCACAUAGAAUAAGAUAAAUCCAUGACUCGGCUAAUCGACGGCCAAACAAACUAAACAAGACACCUCCACUUAAAUCUACCGGCAAAGAGUCGGUAGCAGCUUUGAGAUCGAAGGAAAACAAAUGACUUUGACCGAGCAAGGGGCGCGGUUUGGUUAUAUGUCCCGUCAGUCGGAAGACAAUGAAGCACAUCCAUCACCCGAUCAUGUAAAGGCCGGAAAAGCAAAAAAAAUAAUGAAUAAGACAAAGAAAGGACUUGGACACACCUAUCUCAAAUUAGUGAAGAUACCGGUGGUUAUGGGUAUGGAUCCACGCGAGAUGAUAGCUUUCUCGGGUUUUUGAACAGUUGCUGGCUUUAUUGAUUUACCUCUUGGUAAGGGGAAACUAGCGAAGGUUUUAUUACCUUUUCUUCCGUACACCUUUGCCGACACCGGUACCUCCUAUCAUUGGCACUCUAACUAGGCGAAAUGGUGAGGAAGCCGCUUCUGGGACCGUACGAACUAGAAGGAAUGAUGCUUGCAUAGGUGGGGGGCUGCCUCUACUUCUACAUGUGGUGCUACCUUCGCUGCUUUCAUUAGUCUUGGUUCUUCCAAAGUCGCAAUUAGGAUUGGACUUAGCGUUUAUCCCACAUCGGGAAUUCUCUCUGUUAUGUUGUUGUUUUUAGAGAGUGCGGGGGCCUUUGUCUCUAACUGAACUGUGAUGCCGUAGCUUCUUAUGCUGCAGCCCAUACCAUCCUAGCUUCCCAUACUUUUUCUACCGCUAAUAUGACUAGUGCCCAUACAGCCUAUGUCUUUGCUUCUUAUGCCUUUGUUGCCUUUAUCCCACUCGAAACUAACUGAGAUUCUGCUGACUCAGAUGCUGGUGGUCUAACUUGAAUGGAAUCUGAUCGAUCUCAAUAUGGAACAACUAUAAAGUAUAUGCAUAAACUCUUCUGCCUCUGCCGGCUCUGGAACAGGCUCUUGCUCUAGCUCCGUUCCUCUCCAACCUUUUCUAUCUAUCCUUAGAAGUAGGGCGAGUAAUAAGCUCGAUCUGGAUCCGAAAUGGACUAUGGAUCUCGAUCUAUUGGUCUAUGCGGGAUUCGCCCUCUUCUCCAGUCUCAGUUCUGGUUCGAACAGAUCCCUUUCCGCCUUUGAAUUAGCUACUACUACUACUGAUGAAUGCACCUUCGCUGCACUCGGCCGCUUUCAGGGGGAGUGGGGAUGGCAGGGAAGGGCAUAUCUUUGCCGUGAUCCCCACGUUCAACUGUUAAUCCGUACCUAUCCACCCGAUGUGAUAGAGCGAUACUCUGUUCGAUUCCCCUUUGAUCCGAUGCCUACUACCUAAUAGAAAGGCAGCCAGCAGUCCAUGGCUAGCUGAUAUAUCACGGUUUCACCAUCAGAGGGAGGAGAUGGAAAGAAAGGAGUCGAUCACCUAGCCGAUCCCGAAUAGCCCGAUCUUUAUUUCAUUUCAACCGAUCCGCCGGGUCAUAACCUAAAAUUAUAUAUAUUUAUUUUUAUUAUUAUUAUUAUUAUUAUUAAUAUUAAUCUAAUAAUAAUAAUAAAUAUUAUAAUAAUAUAUAAUAAUUAGAUUAAUUAAUAAUUACUUUGCUUUGAUUCUGAAUAUCUGCUUCGACUACUGGAACAUUUCUUAGAAACCAUAUUGACGGAUACUAAAAACAAACCUUUUUUUCUCUAUUCCUUACUUGUGGUAUCUUCAUUCAUUCAGUCAUUCCUUCGUUUUAUAGCCUGUUGUGCUUGUUUUCUUUUGCUUGUUCUGUUGGAACAUUGAGUAAAUCAACCUUAUUAUGUAAUAAUUUUUCAUUCAACAAGGUAUGGGUAUCUUCUCACUUAGCUUGACUAGACAGUUAGUUAGUUCAAAAGGAAAAAGAGUAAAUUGACUUCUAUUGAGACCUCUUCUUGGAUGAAGAAUCAAGUGACUUGUUAAAAGCAUACUUCUAACUCGAACUAUUUCAUUACGGAGUACCUCAAGCCCCGCCUCGCCGUUAGCUUCAUAUCCUUUUUUACGGAACUCUAGCUUGUGCCGUAGACGACCUUCCCACUAGUGUGAGAGGAAACUCUCGAUUGGGACCCGUCCAUUGCUUGGCUCUUCCUACCCACAGGCGGGUUCCCCGGCAGAACGAUGAGGGCUUUGCUUGCCUUUCUUUUCUAGGAUGAGUGGUUGAUUCUCGAAUCCUUCUCUUUGCUUUACAACAUAGUUGAAUGCCCCCAACGGAAGGUACUUGUUUCUCUCUCGGGCCUGGCCGAUCAACGUAUGGCCGGUGUAAGAACCCAAAGCGCCUAUUCCCGGACGCAACCAACCUCUGACUAUUCCACUCUGAUUCCUUCGCUCUGCCCAUGAAAGUCUUCUUUCUUCGAGUGAGAGAGGAGAAGAUUCGCACUGGCUUUAUGGCUCAUACGACCUCGAAAGUUCAAUAAUUUAAGGGGUUCCGACGAAGGAAGAGCUUGACUGCUACUAAAAAAGGUACGCCCUAAUCGCUCCCCUUUAUUAUUAUUAGUAAGAUAGGGUGGUUGAGAAGCAGGUCGUUCGUGUGCUUAUUGUAAAAAAAUACCUACGACUAUCAAAGGAACUAAUCUCACAAGCAACCGUCACUCAUAAAGGGGCAACAAGACCUCUAACGGCCACUCUCUUUCUCUUCCUUCGGUAGGCUCUGCCUCAUAGCCGGACUCAGAAAUGCAACUCUUUGAUCAAACCUAGCAAAUAAUGGCAUAAACAAUGGAUUCUCACUCGGGGCUCAACUUUCCAUAAUCCACUGUUAAGGACUCUCUUUUUUCUCAUCCACCUUCUUUCCCUUGGUACGGUACCUUCACGGCACAUUUGUUCUCAAACCCUUCUUUUCAGACGUCGAAAUGGGCUUUUGCCUCGUAGCCAUACCUAGACGAAUCUGACUCCUCUUCGAAAAGAGAGAGCAGUUGUUCCCCGAAAGACUUGGAAAGGUUUUUUUUGCUACAAACGAGAUUGAAGAAGUCCAUCGACUUAAAAACCCUUGGUACUUUAAACCAAAGUCUUGCCUUGACUUACGAGCAAGCCGAACUCCCCCUUCGCAACACCUACCUUUUUUUCUUCCUGAGGUGGGUGUCCCGCUUGAAGCAAGAGGAUUAGACAUCUUAUUCAUUGAGUCGACGAGAUCGAAGUAGUAGGUUUCCAGCCCAGCAGUUUACGGAGAAGAGGGGAAAGUUUGAGGAGAGGAAUAAGAAGAAGAGAGGGGACCUCAUCAUGGCACGCUGGAGCAGGAAUUGAAUCUGCACUUGGCUCUCAUAAAGCCAAAGCAAAACAACCUUUCAUUGCCACUGAAUCCCCCUUUUUGAUCAGCCGAACUUUCCUUCUGCUUGACUUAGAGUAGAUUUCAUUCGACAUAUGCGACCAACUGCCCCCUCUCUUGCUUUUGAUCCAGCUAAUGGUAAUGAGUGCGCCUGAAGCCCCUGGAGUUCUUCCUCUUUUCCUUCCCCGAUCCGAUUCAACCCUCCGAUCUCUCUUUCCGUAGAGGAGAAGAGCUUCCCCUUGUUUUUCGGCGUCAACCUUUGUUCUUUCCUAACCAGACCUCGACGAAUCCAAAGUGAAAGGUCCAACUGGUCAAAUUCCUUAUUCAUUGGUCUAGGGUAUGGAAGCAGUCCUUCCUAUCGAAAUUUAGAUCCCAUCCCUUAGGAUACAGAUUGACAAGGACUUAACCGAUAGUGAAAAGCUUCCAGCUUUGUUGGCACAAAAAAACUCUUGGAUGAGAAAGGCCUACGUGCCGCUGAGCAUGCCCAAAUUUACCAAAAACGUAUCAGUUGAGCCUAUGAUAAGAAGGUCUUAGAAAGGAAGUUCAAGAUAGGUGACUUAGUCCUUAAGAAAAUCAUGCCUUCUAGAGAUCCACACCCUAGGGGAAAACGUCAAGCCGAAUCGGGAAGGGCCCGAUUUCAUAUCCGCCGUCCAUCCUGGAAAUGCAUAUAAACUUUAGAAUGCGGAUGGUGAUGAACUACCCGAUCCCUGGAAGGCCAUCUACCUCAAGAGGUACUACGCGUAGGCCAACCUUUGUUUGGAUUCACAUUUUGGCCUUACCUCGAGAGAACUUUGUUAUGUUUCCGAGUCUAAAGAGUAGGGCAUAUGUUUGUUGUCUAAGUUCUAAAAGAUAGCAAGCUAGUGCAUUCAUUCAUUAGUACUUCACCAGCGGAUAGGGUGACUUUCUCGUUCUCGACCUUUCCCCAGUCCCCUAUUCGCCGAACCAUUCCUUCCAUCGUGAACCUUUAUCCCUGAGUCAACCGAAAAAAUAUCCGCCUCCCCUCUUAUUCAUUGAGAAAGGCAGGGGUGGGGAUAUCUACUAAAUAUGCUCGCUCCUAUUAGGAGUAUAUUUACUAAUGAGACUCCUCUUUUAGUUUCAUUCUCUGAAUAUGCACCUCUCCCUUUCAUUCCUUAACUCAUUCAUCCAUGAAUUUCUUUCCCGCUACCCCCCUUUUUGGUAGGAGAUAGUUUCCUCUCCCGCUUAAAUUCCUUGCAUCGGAUAGAAGCAGCCCAUGGAAUGAAUUUCGAUACCAUCUCCUUAUCGGUUGGCGGAAAGUCAUCUCUUGGGCAGUCGAAAGGGGGGCAACGAAUCGUCGAAUGAAUUCCUUGUGUCGGGUGGAGAGAAGAGGGUGGUAGAUAGAAUGAACAGUCGACUGCUAUGGGAGAGGGAAUCAACUAGGAACUGGCAUCUCCUGGUCCCUUCCAACCAUUAAAGGUACGUGCUUAUUACUAGGAGUGUCAGAUGCAACCUGUGUGCUCAGUCCCAAACUGUAUUGAUGACCAAGCGCGCAGUCUUUAUAGCGCGCUUUUCAAGCGCUUACCAAGCAAGCAAGCCGGCAUACUCAGAGAGCUCUUCGCCUUUGGUCCGAUGUGGGGGCCCUUUCUUAUUGAAUGAAGUAGGCGGUAACGGUAAUAAGCGACCGAUCAUUAGUAAGAGACGAAGACAGGGCCAGACGAGAUAUUGAAAGGCUUGAAUGGACAGGUAAGGGACAGACUGAUUGCACCUACCAGGCACAGGACUUAUUGGCUUCAGAAGCAAGCCAAAGAAAGAAGGGAUUCGCUUACAGAAGUACUUUCCAUAUUUUGAAAGGGAAUAUAUAUAUUUGAAGGAAGGUACUCGUGUACGGGAAUCGAAGUGAUUAGAACAGAACUGAGCUUGCCAGCCAGGAAUGAAGAAGCAACGGACGCUAUUUGUGGACAGAGCAAGGGACAGAUAGAGGAAUGGUUUACCUCCUCUAUCCUUUCCAUUAAUUGAUUGCAUACCGUCUCGCUUCUGUUUACCGUACGAUUAGCUGUACUUCUUUCCGAAUGGUUGAUAUAACCAUUCCCUACUGACUCUAUUAGGGGCAUACUCGAUAGUCGUCUUUCCUUUCCUGUACUAUUCAAAUUGCCCUAUUUUUUCUAGUAAGGGGAAGGGCAGACCGCUUAUCAUAAAACAGAAGAUCGAUAUCGCACAGAAGGCCUGAUAUCGCCCUAUUUGAGAUACUGAUUCAAGUUAUAGUACUUCUUCUUCCUAAGAGCGAUUGAACUAGCCUUUUGACUAAAUAGAUAUGAGCAUAGAGAGGGAAUCCUGAACUACAGGAAAAAAGGAGAGCAGCCAGCCUUUAUAUUAUUAUAUAUUAGCGGGUAGGUUUUUCUUUUUCCUGAAGCUUAGAUGAGAUUAGAGAUGAAAAAGACGCUAGCAUUAGCAGAAGAUCAUCGAUCAUACUUUCUUGCCUUAGCCACUAUUGAGUAAGAAAGAUUUCUACUUGCCUUAGAUCACUAUCGAGGAAGAUAAACUCAUAGCACAGAUGAUCCUUACCCGGGAAGGCAGAAAGAGUACCUGUUGUUAACAAAACGGAGUCUCAAAAACUCAAUUAUCGUAUUUUCAAGCAGAGCACCAGUAAAAGACCUAGAGGCCUAUGAAAGUCACGUUUUUACUUAAGAAAGAUGGCGCCUUUGCGAGGAUGUCUUUAAUCAGCCAAUGCCAAGGCAACAAAGCUAGCAUCAAACCUACCCGCCCAGAACCCUCCUUAAUUCCUACCAAGGUUCCCAUCCCCGAUGACAGAAGAAAGAUAAGCUAAAAUGGGAGCUGGAGAGGCAGGAAGAAAGAUUCUCACUUGGACAGGAGAUGCGGACGAGUUUUGGCCGAGCUCCAAGAAGCCUGGGAGAGAAGGAGGCAGGGCCAAGCUGAGCUAAACCUAAACGUAUGCAUGGUUAAAAAGAAGUGUACCCAAGUUCCUGUGUUGCUCGAUAAUUUGUUGAUCCUUUUUAUCUUUAUCCUGGUGGCGCUCUCUUACUUACUAUUUUUUUGGUGCUUUAGCCAGCCUUACUCAUCUAUGAGACAGAUGAGAGAGUGGGAAAAUGCGGUGUCAUGACUUUUUCCUUGAAAGGCAUCGUCUGUUGACGAAUCCAUUUUAAGCCUAAGAUUCCCCUGAGAAUGGAUCUCUCAUUUGGGCAAAAAGGCUGUGAAAAAGGAUUCCAAAUCAGGCUUUCCUCACUUGAGUAGAAAGCUUUUCAGAAAGGAGGAUAUCCUGAGCCAAGCACAAGCAGUAGUCUCAAAGAGUAAUGCAGUUGGAUCAAGAAGGCCGAAAGCCCGGCAGUAAAGCUCACGUUGUCGACACCUCUUGUCCGUCAGUGAGUGAUUUCUCGUAUGUGUAAAGACGGGUAGACCGUCUCAUCUCUUUCCUCAAAGUGGUGGAUCGAACUUCGAUCAUGUCACGAGAGUGGAUUCAGUUGGUUUCAUCGGUCAUUCUGCGAACCUGAACCUGACAGCUAUCACUUACUGGUCAAUGAAAGUGGGGUAAGUUUGACUCUGAUUCGGAGCUUGAAAGUCAAAGAGUCUCAUGCACUUGCUUAUGGAACUCUUGCUUCAAAGAAUAAUCUUCCUAGGUUGCCCUAUCUCUUCCUCUUCGGUUGUACUUUCCCUUUUCUUCCUGUUCAACUUGCCCAACUCUCACGAACUGGCAGUGGUUUUUCAGCAUCAAUGAGUCGACUGCUUUUUAUAUGACCUUUGCUUUUAGCUGCUGAUGUCUGACGACAAUGACUGCCUCACCUGAUGAUACAUAGCACUGAAUUGGAUUAGCGGACACAGAGUCAUGUAAAGCGAGUGGAAGGGUCAGACCAUCAAGUGGAUCGGAAUCAUGUAUAUAGGAAUCAGGGGCUAACGCAUGCCUAAACCGACCUGUCUUUCCUCUCCCUUAUCGAUCGAGCCUCACUUCCGCUCUCCUUCCCUAACGGAUAGUACGACCUCCUAACGGUCCCCUUCCCUUUGGUCGAGCACGAGCCUAAUCUAUCCCCUCUUUGCGUCAAACUUCUAUGUGGGCUGCGCCCUCCUCUGAUUCUACCUAUCCACCUGGAUUUUGGGGUCUCAAUGCCAUUCCUUGAUACGAAAUCUCCUUCUUGGCGACUCACUCAUUGAGGAAAGAAGCCCUACUCGCCGGCCUCAAUGGACCAAUGGGGCCACUCCUCGAUCCUUCUGACCCUGACUAAUCAAUCGGCUUGGAAGUUGGAAGGGAGAUGCCAUGACAAACUCAUCCAAUCAAGCUCGUCUGGGAAUCUUUCUCUGACUUGUCCUUCGGGGAAGGGAGCUAGAUUCGUAGAAAUCGAGAAGAAUGGCAGCUUUGACUAACAGGAUAGGGUGCCAAGGAGAGGGUUUCAUUGAAGAAGUCAUAGUGCGGAGAGGAGCUCACCUUCAUCUAAAGAGGGAGCCUUGAAGCCAAAGCCAUCUUGGAUCAAUUGGGAACUUCAUCGGGCACGCACCUUUCAUCGUGAAUGAUUAUGCUCAGGGAGCCCCAACUAUAGCCAUUUCCUUCCAUAAACAACCACGGAAAAAGCAAGAGAAGUAGCCCCAGUCAGACAGCAAAGUCGCAAAGGUAAAAGGGAGAGCAUCAGGUCAAUCAGUCGAUGAUCCGGUGGAUCAAUUCAUUAGUCUUGCAGUUGGUCAAGCCAAAGACUGAGUCGACUAAGCAACUGUGUAAGGAGUGGAUGAUCAAUAAUUCACAGCAAAAGUGGAUACAAGAACCGAGUUCAGUAGUCGAUGUUGAAGUCGUGCAAGUACUGAUCUCUGAACCAGAAGCAGCAUACUUAUCGACUGCUGUGACCAACACGCACCAGCAACAGCGCUCGAAAGUCAGAGUGAACCAAGAGAAGCUGAACAGACGGAGUGCAAGUGCAUCCAUGGAUCAGAAAAGGAGUGAGUGGCUUCCAAGGUGUAGGUGGGGGAACGAGUGAUGGACCAAGCAAAGGAAAGGGGGAAGAAUCACUGGAAAGACGCUGCUUUGGUUGACCAGCGAACAAGCACGAGCCAGGCAAUAAGAAAGCAAUAGCCGAGGUUGGGUCGUCAGGAAGGAUAGCCAACAUAGAAGAGCUUUUGCCCAUUCCAUUAGUCGAAGCGAAGUCCUGUCCUUGGAAAAUGAUUUGAUUCACGUUUCCUAUCUCCCCUUGAUAGAAAAGGGAUCCUCGCCUGCCAAAGGUUCUUCUUCCCUCUCUGCAAAUGGUGAUUCCACAGCAUCUGAGUUCAUCAAGCGAAGAACAGAGAUCCUUUCUCGAUGAAGGUCUUCUUAUCUUAUUCCUCUGGGAAAGACGUGGUUCAUGAGCCAUUGACUCGAUCAUCAAGUCGAAAUAAGGCGCUUUCUUGAGUUCUUUUACCCAUCUAUUGUACCGUGGGGAGCAGCAUCCGAGCUAUGGGAUCGCUAGCUUAUGAAAGAUCAUAGAUCGGGGACAUCUGACUGAGAUAGAUCGUCAUCUCCGGGCGAACCUCUCUUUGUCGAUCAGGUAACUAUGAGAAUGGUUCGAUAUGUGAAUUCAAAGAAAAUAGGGGACAUAAGGGUUCUUAUGCAGUUGUUCGAAUCCUACGCCUAUCGCCUACCUUAUCUGCCGAUUUAUCGUAGAUAACAGAUGUGAGCGUUGCCUCACAAACCUAUCCAAAACCCACUUUUGUUGUCAGGGCGUUUCGCCCGACAUUUUCAAAAGUGUUCUUCAUAUAUAUAAUUAAUAAAUUCCAGAUCUAAGGGCUCCAUGGGCAGAAGGAUAAGGAAGGUCAGAAAAGCUAGCAGCGGGAAAGCGGUAAGGGAAGGCAAUCGGUAAUAGUCAGCUGGCGGUUCGGUUCGGUGGAAGAAGCUGUAAGAGCUGUCAGCGGUAAUAGGCACUUCAAUGAAGCAGCAGCAGUAGAAUCAUCAUUAGUGGAUACAGCACCAACAACAGCAGCAGAUCCAGAGGCAGUUCCAGUCCUUGUCGCAGCGCAGUAGUUAGUAGGUGAUCCAACACCAGAGAGAAAAGACGCAGCAGAUUCAUAUACUGACCUUAGUGAUAUAGAUCCAUACCUAGGUACAGAACGAGACCCAUUAGUGAGGUCCAUAUCGGUAAUAGAAAGACCUGCCACAAAAGCAUUCCGAUGGAGCAGAAGUAGACCCUUCCCCCGCCAUAAUAGCACCACCUAGCUUCGCUGCAUCGGGAUAGUAGUAGCACAUAUCUUUAUAUAGUGAUCGUGAUAGGGAUAAUGAUACCAAUGAUAGAGUUGACCUAGCCUAGCGACAUCCAUCCCUUGUCUCCUACUGGUUUGUCUCUGAAAAUGGUUCUAAAUAAUGGUAUACUCCGGCUAGCGAAGAGGACAACCGAACCAACAUAUUAAGAAGAAGUUAAGGUCUCGGUUCCGUCUAUAUUCAUAGAAGGUGAUGUCGACGCUUUAGUUUUCAUUUUUUAAGAAAGGUUAAGAAGAAUAUCCUUGGCUAAAUAAAAGAAAGAAAGCCGAGCACGACUCCUAUCACUUUCUUAUUAGUCAGUCACUUCAGGCUUGGGUCACAAGCGCUAGCACAUCGGGCUUCUUAGCCUAAAAAAUAAGUGCUUUCCACCUCUUUCUUGCUGCAGUUGCAGGUCGAAGAUGAACCUUGCUGUUUAGUUUCUGCGUGACAAAUACGCUGGAUUGUGUUACGCGAAAAUGACGCCAUGCCCGGUUUAAAGAUAUAACUAUUGCUGCUUACUCCAAUCCUAAACAAGCAUCAAAACGCACAUAGGCUAGCGUGAGCGGUAAGGAGAGAAAGAAAGCAGCAAGCCAGCUAGCCCCCCGACAACUAGAGCGUAAGCAGACGCAGCUGAAAAAACUAGACGUCAUAGGCUAGCUCAAAACGUCGAGGUGAUAGCUUGAGGUCCUAAUCUGACUGAGUUGUAUUUAGGAUAAGCGGGAAGGCUCAAUAGAACGGGAUCCUCACGUCUACAAUGGAGCUUCGCCUUGACUACAAAGUUUAGGGUGCUUCACUCACGCGGCUUUGCUAGAUGGAUGCAGAAUAGUUGGAUGGAGUCUCGCUCAGUCAAUUAGUCUAGCCUCCCUUCCGAGUCAGAUUUUUUCCGGAAUUUUUUCUUGUCAAGUGAAAAUGGAGAUUCAAAAAUGGUUGGAACUAUUUGAACACGACGUUUUUUGGGGAGUCGGCAUCCAUUAUGUGGAAGUUGGGUCACAUCGUGGAUGUACAUAAUUGGAGAUUGAUCUCCUACUCCUUCACCUCGAAAACCUUCUCUCCAGCUCAAGAUCACUUUAUUCUUUUUCCUGAAAUAAGUAGAUCCUUUCACUUUCAUGACAACUGACUUCAAACCCAUCUUUCUGGCGGAUCGCCCGACAUGUUCCGCAGUUGCUUCAGCAGCAUACCGAGAAAGACGAGACCGCCCUUUUCUUUCCUCCAAACAACCUGCGGAGGCCCCAGUCUUUUUAUUCCCCCUAGCAUCUGUCACGGUCACAAAGGUCUUAUUUUUGAUCAGUAAGACAUGGACAAAAUCUCUGUUCUUUUUCCGUGAACAUUGCUCAUCUUCCUCCGAGAUGCUCUGUACGAAGUUCAUGGAUUUGAAACUGCCCGCACCCGCAAGCCCAAGCCGAUCAGUCUCGGCCGUUGUUUUUUCCUGGGGCAUCCUAUGUGAAAAGUGUUGAGAAAGCAUUUUGUUUUUUUAUUCUUUGUCUGCUCCCCCAAAAAAAAGAGAGACUUGUCGGAAAUCGCCGGUUGGGUUGGUCCGACCAAGAAAGACAUGGGAUGCACUUUUUCGUUUCGAACCAUACCUCGAGGAGAGGUGGAAGUGAAAGACUGGCUACCUAUAAAGAUCCCUCACUGCACACUUUCUAUAGUUCUGUAUCCAGGAUCGGCUGCAUGCUCGAGUUAUGAAUCGGGUAUAGAACCCAGGAUGCUUGGUUACAAUUCCGAAUCCGCUAAACCAUGUUUCUUUUCUUUUUUUUUGUCGAAACUAUCCAUGGGCAAUGAGUUUCGAUGUAUUGGGUGUAUCCGUUCUUUAUUUAAAGAAUUAUUUUCGUGCUUACGUCAUUUGCUUUCGCGUCCUUUUCUCAUUCAUUUUCUUUUAUCCCGGAACACUAACGAAAUCGCGGUUUCCUGAACUGAAGAAUGUGAACCUUAUAUAAUCAAUAGAAUAGAACAGCAUCUUUGGUGAAAGAAAGAGUGGUUAGGUCAGAAGCAUCUAGCACGCACUUCAAUCCAAACAAGCAAUAAGCAAGAUGAAUCUCUUUUUCUUUCUAUUCUAUAAUAAAUGAAAUUAUGUAAUCAGGGCUAAAGCACAUACAUAUGGAGAGGUGCAAAGGACAGAUGUGCCAGUUAGAUGAUAAUAAUUACCAGGGUCUGCCAGCGGUAUUUGAUUGAAAUAGUGCGGUACGAAUUACUUUCAUCAUUUAUAUACCCCAUCUUAAUAUAAUAAGAAGAAGACGUUAUAGUCACUUCUAACUUCAUCCAAUCAACUGCCUUGAAUGCAAUGCCUCUCCUAUUUUGAAAACGAACAAAAGAAAGAAAAAACAGGAAAGGCCAUUGGAAGGAUGCGAGCGGGAAGAUCCAUCUCAGACAGAGCAGACGGGGAAAGAGAUAUUAAAUGAAAGGUGUGCCAGCAGAUAUGUAUUUAUAACAGAAAAACCAAAAGCGGUGAGCUGACCUACCAACGUGUGAAUGUUUUAUUCAUGAAUUAUUUACUGUAGUCACAUCCUCAUAAAUAGUUCUAUCCGAUAGGCGUCUUGCAGUCUCUUAGGUGAUAGCGGAGCUCUUCCGUGGGGAAGCACCUAACCAUAUAGAAUAUUCGCACCUUAGCUAUUCUAUGUGAUCUUCCUUGAGCCCCCUAUCGCCUGCUAUCGCCGGCCUGGAAUGAAGGGAGGGCUUCCACUAUCCUACCAGAAAUGCUUGACCAAACUCCAAUACCAAGAAUUGAUCCUGCUGAAGCUUCCUUCGAUUUCUUUUUUUUUUGCCUUAAAAAUCUAGUUUCUUGGCAUAAGGACUACUUAUACUUAUAUGGAAUGGAAGUGGAAUUCCAUCCUAAGAAAAGAUUUUCGCAAUCCCUGGAAGGCCAGAGGUCUUCUUUCUUCUGUCGUCCUGCUAGCUCAAAUCUCGUACUAUAUACUUUUGACUAUACCUGAAAUCACUAUCGAAAAAGGGCUCUCUUUUUAGGCUAGUUAGGGUAGGGAGUGAAUUCUACUUUAGACAAGUCUAGCAAAGCAGCUCAUCUGGUAAGACGGUCAUCCGUCCAACCUCUAUCAAUCGGUCUUUCCUCUUUCAAUCGCUUGAAUCGGUCCAACCGGGAAUCGUCGAAUCUCUAACGAUCGCAUCUGUCUGACUGAUGGGAGAGAUCGGCUCUAUGGCCGCUUUUCCUUAAACUUCAGCCCUCUUUAAGCUCUCUUCUAGGGAAUUUGCUUGGUCUAGUAACAAGUCUCGAUAAGCUGUCGCAAUCAGGCAAUUCGUUAAAAGAGAUAUCUGAUCGAUCUGUCUUUCAAUACUUCCUAUCUUCCUGCUUGGGAAUCAGUAUCUGUUGCAAUCGCUCAUUUGUUCUGUUCUGUCGCAACUCUCGCAUCUGGAAUACGGGAAAGUCUUCCCAUAUUAACCUUUUUGUAAAUUUCUCUUCUAUUGUUAGCAUUGGCUAUCGGUCAAUUCCGAUUCCUUUCCUUAUAAGUAUUUUGUCUCCUUCAUUGAUUACUAUUCUAGAGUGACUUGGAUCUAUCUUAUGAAAUCGUCGAAUGAAGUUCCUUUGAUUUUCCGGUUAUUUCAUAAGAUGAUCAAAAUUCAGUGUGGUAUAAAUUUGAAGAUUUUGAGAUCCGACAAUGGGGGAGAAUAAUAGUUCUCCAAGAACUUUCAAGCUUAUCUGCAGGAACAAAGGAUUGACUCUCAAACUACCUGUCCAUAUACCCCCAAAAAAGAAUGGAGUAGCUGAGCGAAAAAAUCGGCAUCUUUUGGAGGUUACCCGUGCUCUUCUCACCGAGAUGAAGGUACCUAAUACUGGUAAGAAAGAAGCUGUCUUAACUGCAUGUUAUUUGAUUAAUCGUAUGCCCGUUCUAAGUGGUAAAUCUCCUAUUUAAGUGUUGAAACCUGACUCACCCCUGUCUUUCCUAUUUCUCCUCGUGUUUUUGGUUGUGUUUGCUUUGUUCAUGACUUGAGUCCUCUCAGAAACAAACUUGAUUAUAAGUCUUUCAAAUGUGUCUUUGUUGGAUAUUCUAGCGGGCCACCCCAAAACAAAUAAAAGAUUUGUGUCCAUGGAUGUCACUUUCUUUUAAAAUCUUUCUUAUUUCUUUUCUCUGAAAAUGGUAGUACUCUUUCGGAUCCCUACUCUCCUCAGGGGGAGUAUGGAGGUCUGGAGGAGAGUAGUGUUCUUACUGUCGUCAGUUAAAAUAUUCCCAUGUCUAAAGUGGAAAAUUAUAUGGAUUCGAAAGAGGGGGAGUCUCAAAGUAGUGAGCAGCUUGGUCAGCAAACCACGGAAUUAAAGACGUAUGUGAGGAAAAGGAAGAAGGUCAAUUUGUCGAAUCAACGAUCCAUCACCAAGACUCCUCCUUGGAUCCAGGUACUUCCUCUCUUCCUCCUUCUGUUGUUUAUGAUCUGUAUUUACCUAUUGCCUUGAGGAAAGAAAAGAGAUAUUGUACUUCUCACCCUAUUAAUCACUUUGUGUCCUAUCAAGCUUCCUUCCUUUAAAGCUUUCCUUUCAGCGAUUUCUUCCACCAAGAUACCUGGAAGAAGCCCUCAAUCAUCCUCAGUGGAAGAAAGCUAUGAUAGAAUAAAUGGAGGCUCUAAAGAAGAACGACACUUGGGAACUGGUCACGUUACCAAGAGGCAAACGUACGGUUGGCUGCAGGUGGGUAUAUACCCUGAAACACAAAGCUGAUGGCUCUAUCGAGAGGGCUCGUAUUGUGGCGAAAGGUUUCACACAAACCUAUGGCAUCGAUUAUCUCGAGACCUUUGCUCCUGUGGCCAAACUAAACUCAAUUCCAUACAAGUCAUUCUGUCAGUUGCAGCUAACAGAUCUUGGCCACUGCAUCAGCUCGAUGUCAAAAAGGCCUUUCUUCAUGGAGACCUCCACGAAUAGGUUUAUAUGAGUCCUCCACCAGGUUUUCGAGCUCAGGGGGAGGAAGGGAAAGUUUGCAGGUGAAAAAAAAAGGCGAUAUAUGGUCUCAAGCAGUCUCCUCGGGCUUGGUUCGAGAUAUGAAGUUUGGUUAUGACGAAGAUAGAUGGGUUUCCAGAGAAGCAAUGCUGAUCAUUCCGUGUUCAUAAAAAGGAGAGAGACAAGAGGAAACUACUGUUCUCCUAGUGUACUCAGUUUAGAACUCUAAAUUCACAAGUCAAAUAAUGAUAUUAGUCAGAAAGGCAGCUAGUAAGCAAGUCGAGUAAGACAGCUAUUAUUAAGUCGAGCGAGCUUUCGCUAAUACUAAUCAAAGACGAAAAGCUAAGGUAAGAAUUUGCAUAGAGAUGAUAGGCGCUUAUUGUGGAGCUCGAUAGUCUCCCUUAAAACCGCUACCGAUUCUUGAACAGAAAGCGGUAUGCUUGCGAAGACCAUUUCUGGUCUAUCCGUGUUAAUGAAAUCCAUCCCGUGAAACAAAGGAUAGUUCAUUCUUGGGGUGAAUAAAUAGAGACUACUGCUACGGGAUAGACCAAAACUUCGGGAUCAACCUCAAUGAAUUAUGGCGUAACGGGCUUGGUAUAGAUCCGUAGCCCGCUCUGGGUCUUUAACCGAAACUGGGACUAGGCAUGGAAAAGCUCGAUCAAUGUCCUCCUCUCCCGAGGUUAGAAAUGUGGAGGUACCUUUCCCGUCACCUGUUAGCUCUGUCCGCCACGGGUUAGCGACAUAAAGUGCGAAUAAAGGUUCAUCGGGACAUUUUUCUUCGACAACUGAACUAUCAUCACCGUUCUUAAGUCUAGACUUUUUUUGGGGGGGGUCAUAUUCAAAAUCUCGCAAAGCUUCAUUCUACAAGCAUUCCUAUUUUAAAAGGUAUAUGGAUUCCGGAUUGAAAAUAUGGAUAUAUUUCAUUCUCCUUUUGGAGACCGACCCAUCUUUCUCUCUAGAGGGGCCCAAAAGAUACAAAUACGCUCCUGAGGAGUCUUCCUGGGAAAUUGACUCCUUCCUUUCCAACCGGAUUCAUGAGUGAAGGAAAAGAUCAGAUGGAAAGGACUCUCCUUCCUUCUCUCUCAUCUGCUCGGCUACGGAUAUCUGCUCUACAGCGAGUGAUGAAGCUUCGAGUACCCAAUCCAUCUAUAAGGUUCCGGGAAAGAGGGAUAGACUAAAUGUGAGAUGGAGCAAGGUUUGGAACAAUCUCGGCGGGCUUGCCAAUCCGUCGAGAUUAGUCAACUUUCCUUUUAUGUUCGACCAGGAAGGCUACUCCUCAUCCCUACUUUCAGCGGCGAUCAGUCUAGUCUAGUAGGCUCUCUCGCCAGUGAGUUCGGCUUUUCAUUUCGAAUAAAAGGAAAGAGCUUAUAGUUUUUCAUACCGAAAAAGAGGCGGUAGAAGGCCUAAAGUCCUUCUCAUUUCAAUCUCAAUCAAGAAGGGCUUAUUCUAUGCAAUUGAUAGGCUCUUCUCUCUUUGACCCUUCCCUUGGUUGUUAUGAUCUCGUUGAGUGAGAUAGAAGCUCAAAUCAAUUUCUUAGGGAGCAGUGGUUCUUCGUACAGAUUUGGCCUAAGAGCGGUGAUUACGGGAGAAUGUUUUUUGGUUCAAAACAAGAAAAUUCAUCACAGGAGAAAAAAGACAGUGUAGACGAUAGAUUCAUCGGAUAAAGAGUAUAAACGGAAACGGAGACAUUAGACGCCAGCUUAGACCUUGGUAAGCGUUUCUUCUUCGAAACCUCAGCAGAUAUGGUUUUAUAGGACGAUUUGUCCAAAACAGACCUUGCUCGCAAUGACCUAUGUUUCUUUAGUAAGAAAGUCCGGUUUAAGCCAAGCCAUCUCAUACAUAAAGUCUGACUAUUAGUCUUGCUGUUCUUUCAAAUCCAUUAGCGGUGCCGCCGUGCUUUUGAUUUUCAUGCCUUCCAAGCAGUCGAAUUGAAUUGGUCGCAUCUGCCUUCCCGCUUAGUGAAUCUCUAAGGGGCGUAAUUAAUCCAAUCUCUCAAUCGGUUGGUCAAAUGCAUUGACAUUGGCGCAUUCGAUUUCUUCUUUUCCAAAAGUGGGUUCAAAUCCCCUUGCCUUGCUGCUGAGUAUGCCCUAGUUUUUUUCUUCUCGAGGAGUGGCUAGCUCAUUUCUUUAUCCACCAUUGAAUUGGAAGUUGCGGGAUCACCCAUGAUGGCUGUUUCAGUUCUUGAUUCAGUUGAACUGCCCGGCCGAGCUCUUCAAUUGCUUCAAGCGCGUUUCGUUCUUCUUGAAUCUCUCGGAAAGAGGAAGAGGCCCCUGCGCGAGCUGCAAUCAAACUAAAGCGCGUUAGCUAGGCCGUUUUCAAUAAGGGGCGCGUUAGCGCUUUACUAAUAGAAUAUAUAGGGCUUUUCUCGCUUGUUUAGUAAAGUCGACGUUUUUGCUUCGUUCCACUUCCUUAACGGACCUACGGACUAGCUAAGGUUUACUUACAUAGUUGUUCUUUCUUUUCGCAAUUUCAAGUUAAAGCUAGCGUUUUUCAGCUUGCUGUUUGCUUUGGUCGAGUAGCUUUCUUCCUUCGCUUUUGAAUGAAAUCAGCAGUAAGAGUAAGUAAGUGUUUGUUCUCUUUCUUUCCUCUGCUUAUUCCGCCCAACGAAUCGGCUUUCCGCUCGACCAAAUAGUCAAAUGCCCGGUUAGGAUAUGUGGAGAAGAAGCUCCUAGCAUAUUUCAGGAUGACUUUCGUUUCAUAUUCCAGUCUUGCAAUAGGAUUGAAAGGCUAUGAAUGUCGAAUGGUCCCAUAGGCGCUUUCGCCCGCCCCUGAAUAAGCAGUAAGGCGUGGGCGCGUUGGAACGAUCCCGCUUUGAAAGCUCAACCUCGGGAGAAUCAGUUUCGCCGGUCCAGUGACUUGGCAUACAAAGGCGAGUAGGGUUCUCCUCCAUGUGGUGCACUCCCGCUUCUUCAUACCCGGAAUAAGUUUGAGCUGCUCCAAGGGACAGCUUUUUGCUGCCGGAUGAAGGUCUUACGUCGGCUAAGAAGACGGAAAAUUCCAUCUCUUUUGCGGUCCUGGAGAUCGGGGAGAUAAGAGUUCGCCCACCCUAUUUUGAGUGGGUGCUCGCAAGGUCAAAGUCAAAAAUUCUAUUCUUUCAUUAAUACAGGGGUAGUGGGGAAUAAAUAGUUUAAGUGAUUCACACCUCGAAGUAGAGUGUGUAAAUACCGGAUGCGUAGGUUGAAUCAUUCGCUAAACAACUAUUUUGUUGGGCGAUCAACCAGGUGCUCCUACCCAACCGGACUAAUGAAUGCCAACUGGAAGAACUCACUUUCCUAUCGUUCAGUAGGAGAUCCCUUCUUGUGGCUUGAAAAUGAUUCCCUGUUGCUAAUGGGGAGAGAUCUUUCAUUAGGGUUUGAUGCUCCUCAAUGGAGAUCCCCAGAAUAAUAGCUUGCUUGUAGAACCCUUUGUUUGGUACUUUAAUGGGGGUAUUCUUGUACAGCUUGGCCCUUUCCCUGGCGCACUGCCAUCGAAUCUACUAGUCCUCCUCAAACCCAAUGGGAUAGAAUUCCUUGCGAAUUAGAGUUUGAAAUUUCUUCCGUGACAACCCAGAAAUGUCAUGGUUGCUCAUAUAUGCAUUCCAUCAAGUUAGUGCAUAAUUUGACGAUUUCGAUUUUCUUUCUCCGAUCCAGUUCGUUCUGUCUUCUUUCCGACGGAUCAGCCCUAUUAGAGAAGGGCUUCCGAUUCUGUAUGACAACAGAACGAGCAUUCGCUGGACGGCCAAACAUUGAAUGAAAUGUUGGCAUGGGGUUUCGGCAAUUUCAAUUCCAUUUUCAGUCUUUUCAAAUGGAAAUUGAAAUUGUAUACGCCGGUUGAAGCACACGUUGGAGCAUCCAAACGAACCAGCAGGGGCUGCUGUGGCAGAGACAGCAGCAAAAGCACUAGUCUCCGUUGAUCACCUACCAGCAGGGAAAGCAGCAUAGGUGGCAGGAACUAACUAGGGUUUAGGUACCAAUUCGAAGAGCAUUCGUUUACCGGGGUCGAGAGCAGCCAGCCCUAGAGGUACCACACUAACAGCGGCAUCCCGACCUGAUACGGAUCCCUACCUCUCUAUCCACAACCGACCCUUCGAAAGCUUAUUUAUUUACUUGAGGCAUAGGCAUGGGCACAGGUGGAGACACAAGCAAAGGCACCAAUAAAUAGCUACAUGGGUCGCAUAGAAGCUUUAAGAGAUAGGGGGGCAUCCACCGAAGAUGGCAGCGCAACGGAAGCACGAACGAGGUAGCUUACGCUUUUUUUUUCAUCCUCACUACCUGGUUUAUAGUCGAAUCCGGAGAAUAUGAACUCAAAACAUUCUGAUUUUUGGUACGUUGCUAUGAGCAGCUCUGGUGCUCGAUCUUGGGUCUUAGGUGUGGGUCGGAUCAUGAUAAAGAAGGUUCGGUGGUUGUAUAAUUCCCAAGCGGAAAGUAGUCUACUUGCAAAGUAGAUGGGGUGAUCAAGCGGCCCUUCCUGCGCCAACAUACAUCCAAUGGCAUAGAGUGAUGCGUCAGUAUGAACAUGAACUCCUUAUUCCAAUCCGGAAACCGAAGGAUUGGGGCUGACAGCAAACACUCAUCUGCAUGCUUAAAGGCUUAAUCCUGUUUCGGUCCCCAACCGUUAUACCUUUCUUCUGCAAUGAUUCCAUUCCGGGGUUCCGCGCUUCGCAAAGUGUUUAAUGAUGCGUCUGUAAUAGCCUAUGUGUUCCAAAAAAGAACGCGCUACGCCCGGCCCCCUUUUUCAGUAGAUGAGAUUAGGAUGAAAGGGCUUGCUUUCAUUAACAUUCAGUGAAGGUGCAUAGCUUCUUUGAAUGUCCCGCUGAUUGACUACUACAUCUAGGGACGGGACUGAUCCCGAAAGAGAGGUCUUUCUUUCUGGUUAUGAAAUCGCUUAGGUUGAAAAGCAAGUCGAUGAUGCCAUAAGUCAAACGGGCGGGUGAGGCGAGAGUCCUUCACUGCACUCACUGGAGAGAAGGGAUCAUCUCCAAUCUAGUUGUAAGGUCUUGUCCCCUUAUUAGUAGCCGAAGUGUAUGCCGGGUCAUUUUUGAUAAAUUGAUAUGUGCAUCGGAAUACUUUAACACUUUAAAUAAGCGUUAGUCGACCUCCGGAGGACAACAAUUUGCUUUUCCAACUGUCGAUUCUCUUUUUCAUUUUCUCCAGUAGAGGAAGGCAAUGCUCUCUCUUUAUUCUCUUGGGGGACAAGGGAAGAUCCAGGUACUUUAUAGGAAAACUACCUUUUUUUAUUCCUCCUCAAUGAUCUGGAAUUUCUGCGAGGAGCUCUGUUCGAGAAGAAGCACUGGCUCUUAUCGAAAUUGACCUUUUGGCCAUUACAAUCAGCUUCUUACUUCUUUCCAGAAAGAUUUUCAGUUUCUUAAGAUUCCGUUUAUGGCCAUUAUAUAAUAAUAUCAAAAUAGUUCGCAAAGAGAAGGUGGGAGAGUGCUGGGCACGAUCUCAAACCAUGGUAAGGUGUUAUCAUUUUCAAUGAUACUAACUCCUGUAGGCCUCGGCUUAGCACUUCUUCAGCUAAAAUCAACAGGCUAGGUUUGGAACCCUUGUCGCAGCCCUCGAGAAGCUGGAAAGUACUCAUGUGGCACACCAUCCACAAGCACUCCAAAGUUUUCAUUACAUAAACAUCCAUGUAUCAAAUUCCGCCAUUUAUCACAAAAGCCGAAAAUCACACACACGCAUUACCCCCAACAAGCCCAUUCGAUCCAAAAAGAUGCUUUUGCCAUAUCCUGAGUUUCUUUUGACCCCCCCUCCCUCCUACUAUUAAGCUUUUUGGUUGAAAUCCUUUAUCACUUAAAGCCACCUCGUGAGCCAAGGAGAUCUUCUCUACAAUAGUUAGUCCUUUAACAAAAGCCCCUUGUUCCUUAAAAAUGAUUCUAGGGAGAAUCCAACUCAUUCUUCGAGCUAGAGAUCAUUUUAUAGAAAUAGUGACAAAGCUCUCCUUCAAAUAUCUCAUAAAUAAAGGUAGGUCGGAAUUGGUGAAAAUGUGAAGGACUUUCGACUUUCGGAAUAAGGGCAAUCAAUGAAAUUUGAAUUCAAUAGGGCUUAACAGCGCCUUCAGCAAAGAAAUUGUGAACCGCCCUGACCAGGUCGUCUUCAAUAAUCUUCCAACAGUGAGAGUCAAAACUGGGAAUCCAUCAAUUUAAAGGAUAGGGGAGGCACUCUAACCAGGCUCUAUUUUCACCGCAUCAUGGAUUUCCUCUCGUUAUGGCGUGGAAACCUGGGAGAUAUUUUCAGCAUCAGUGAUCAUCGUGGGAAUACAUCUAAGUAGAUUAGGCUUCAGGCGCCACCCCCCACUCGGAAACCAUGAAAAGCAGAGCCCUUGAAAGUGCUCAGCAGCUUUGGCCCCCACCUGAAACACAUCACUAAGGAUGGAGCCAUCAUCUUUAACAACUUCUUUUGAGUUCUUUCUGGAUCUUCUAGCUAAAGUGGAGAGAUGAAAAAAUCUGAUCUCUUUCUAUCGCCCUCCUUUCCUUUAGCCAUUUGAUACGGGAUUUCUUUUUCCAUCUAAUUUCUGAAUGUCUAAGGCAUACAUCAUAAAGAUUUUUUGCCUCUUUUUCUUCCUGGGCUAACUCCGCAGUCCAUCCCACCCUUUCCAAGGAUUUCUGAAUGUCGCAGACCUGAAAUUCCGCUUCCUUGAUCUUUGAAAAAAUCGAUCCCACAACAUAUUUAUUCCAAAGUUGGAGGUCCCCCUUAAGUCGUUUCAAUUUAGAAAAGAAACGGUAUAACGGGGAUCCCCAGGCCGGUUGUUUCCAAGAGGUAGACACCACCUCCAAAAAAGAGUAGUAUGAAAGCCAAAAUCUCUCUUUUUUAAACGGCCGGAAGGCGGCGCUUUUAAGGCCAAUUUUUAUCAAGAGUGGGCAAUGAUCUGAUUUGAGUCAGGGGAGGUGCUCCACUAGUAUAUUAGGAAAGAUGGACAACCAUUUGCUGUUUGCGAAAACUCUAUCUAGUCUUAACCAGAUAUAAAGAGUCCUCUUACGAUUAUUACACCACGGGAACCUACUUUUAACAAAUCCCACAUCCAUUAAGCCACAAUCGUUCACAGCUUAGCUUCAUUAAAGUCCCUCUCCGCUAUGCUAUGCAGGAGUAGCCCUCCCAGUUUCUCUUCCGGUGACAAAACAGCAUUAAAAUCUCUUUUAAGAAGCUUUUUGGGGGAAGGGCGGGAAGAGCAAUUAGAGUCAUUUUUCUAAAUUCAUCCCACAGGUCUCGCCUAUCAAUAGUUUAACAGCUUGCGUGAACAAAAAGGAGGCGUACCUGAGUAUUUUAAGAUUUGAUCUUUGCGUUGGUAGAAAUGAAUUGGGCAUUGCCUUCAAUCAUGGACAGGUCAAGGAUAUCUUCUCUCCAAAAGACCAAGAUAUUGGCAGGGGAUUCAUCCGAGAUGUUCGACAUUCAUCCAUACGCAAUCUCCGCUUCAAUUUUGAUACAUAGUUGGCCCUUCUAACCAUUGGUUCCAGGAUGACAACCAAAAACUAAAGCCCGGUCCGAGCAAGAUCGUCGAGACGUCUACGCGUGGAAAAAACCUUGCAUUCCAAACAAUUGCAAUUGUGGAAAUUUUUGAAAUAGAGUGGAGUGGGGCUUAGCCCCAAGUUUGGAUUGUGCCCUAGUAGUCGCGCUCUUACCCAGGUGCUGCCAUUUGUUUGCCUUGUUCGGAGGCUCCGGUUUCAAAUCUUUCUCAAAGAUAGAUGAUUGUGGGUCCUGAGAGGAGCUAUUUGAUUCUUAAUCAUGAUCAUUGGAAUGAAGAGGUUUUGAGGACCUUCCUUCUAAGGAGAAAGCGCGAACUUCUCUCUGUAUGGCAACCACUAAAAAAAGAUAGUUAACCAUCGGUUCAUUGGAUUCCGGGCCGGAUGGAGCCAGUGCAUAAUCCGUAGGGGGUCUUGAUUAUCAACAAAAUUUCUGCCAACUAGUUCCUCUUCCUGCUGUCCCCGUGAGGCAGAGCUACCGCCGGUAUUAGGGGCUGCGUUAACCGAAGGCGAUUUUCCAAUAGCUAAAUACUCCGGUUGUUGAAGAACAGGAGCUUGGGGAUUGUUAUCUGGUUCAAGCUCUUCGCCCCGAGGACCAUCUUCAAUGGUUUGCAUGUAAGCAGCAGCAACAUCUGAAUCACAAGGGCUAACUUCAGUGGUAGCAGCCCUGACUUACUUAAAAGCUUCUGGAUUGGUUGGGUCAUUAGCAUGAAAAAAAACCGGAGCAUUCUUUGCAGCUUCAGCCACACCAGCAUUCACCUCAGCAGGUGCAUUUUGAACAGUAGCCGCAUUAUCAGCAGCAGGCAUCGUUUCAGUGGUAGGUGCUGACCGUAUUGGUAGCAUUGGUUCUUGGAACAUAGGCCAUUCUCGGUGACGGGUUGACACCAGGUUCCUUAUUCGCCACUUAGCAUUCGUGACGGGCAUGACCUUGUCGUCUGCAAUGCGUGCAGAACUUAGGUAUUCAAAAAGAAACGAUUUAUUGCUAGUGAUCCAUACACAGUAGAUCCAAUCCAAACACGAUUUGGGAGGUUUUCCUUGAGAAGAUCGACUUCUACACAAACCCUAGCUACGUUGGGGCGUGAGACAAGCUUCGUAGGACCGGGUCAGGCCAAUUCCGAAAGUAGAGACGAUAGAAAACAGGCGAAACUCAAAGAAGAAGACAAUAGGCAGAUGGGGUCGCGAUACCCAAAUAGGCGCAUGCAUUGGAUCACCAUUGCGGAGACGGAAAUCAUGGCUCCAGCAGAAAACCCUAAACAUCAAUCCCUCAAUCAAAAACUUCUCUUUGUUUUUUGGUGCAUAUCUUCUUUGUUCGAGAGCUUGAUGAAGACGUGCCUUGGAUCUAACAGAAUGAUCGAAAGAUCUCCCUUGGUACGCCAGUUCUUCGGAGCGAUCUCCGUAGGAGCUGCCAACGGGACGCCCACCGCAGCGGUAGAAGACGAGGGGGAAGGCUUUUUCAACCCAUUCCUUCGUCGAAAUCCGUUCCCCAUCCAUUUAAGAGUAAUCACGAACAGCAAGAAAAGAAUCGCAGCAAGCCCUAUGUGUCACGAGCAGGCACCACGGGUUGUUGACUUGAAGGUGGGGGGGAAGGCUUUUUGGGAUGCAUUAUAGCACAGGCCGUGACUACGUUUUUCCGUUGCUUGUUGCCCCUUUAUUAGUAAGAAUGCUGUGAAAACACAAGCUUAACACGUCUGUCUUUAUCUUCUUCAUAUCUUCAUGUCUUUGUCGAGUUGAUUGGUUGACAUUAUUCGCUCCUUUCUGUCUUUUCAUUGUCCGCCUCUGCCCGAACAGAUAAGCACUAACCCACCCGAAAGAAGGUGAAACCCUUCUUUCCAACCAUGGCUAUCCUUGUACGAAUUGUUGACUCCUUUCUUCGUACAAAUUAGACCUAGCUCGUAGGCGAAAGAUACCUUCCUUUGCAAUACUCCUGUCGGCGGGAUCCGCCAGUGCCCCCGUGUGUAAGGCCCUUUCCUCAAAGAGGUCGAAUGGUUCCUGUCCUAUUCAUACUACUCUGUUGGCUUAUGUGGUAUGUCUAGCGGAUGGUGAAUCCUAUCCAGGAUCGGAAUUGGAUAUUUCCUCGGUUUCCGAGAAGUGUCUUAAUGGGUAUCCGACCGCCCUCUAGCAUGUAUGAUGGCUAUCGUGGCUUGCCGUUCUACCAGAUAUCAUGAUUCUCCCUAUUGUGCAGGUGCCUCUAUUGGUUUCUUCAAUUCCUCCUAUUCACGUUGCUGCCAUGGCCAACACAGGAUAUUCCUCUAACUCGUUGUUCCCACGCGCGUGUCAUCAGUGCAAAUUUCGAAAUCAUCUUACGCAUAACUCUUCACUCUGCUUGGGAAGUGUUCGGAGUAGCACGAAUAUCCUAUGAAGGGGUCGAUCGCUUCGCCAAUGGGACAGCUAACUACGAAAUGUCAGGAGUUAGGGGGGGCUAGCGACUCCGAGGGAAGGGGUGAAUAGACCACGAGCAGCACGCUUGCUUCGGAGGGGAUCCGCAAGGCUUUAGCCCAAGACUUAUUGGAAAGGUAAUGAACUAUGCGGCGGUGUUGACCCUGCAAUAGCUCCCUACCUAUACCGCUGCCGGUGCUUUAUCAGAUGCUGAGCCCACUAGUUCGAUGCAUCAAACCGCUACCUCUCCCACCCCUUCCUCCGAUGCCGGCUAUCGAUCUGGAGAAGAUGCAGGAAAUACAAUUUUGAGUGCUGUCAGCUCAUAUAGAUUUCCAUCCGCACAUGUACCUGGACUUUCUUCCAUAAAUGGCUCCGCGGAUCUCCAUCUGUACCUAGAUUCGCCACUGGCUUCUCACUCGUGGCAAGGCUUUUGAUCGUAAGUAGAAGCAGGGCCGGACGAGGCUAACUUCCCUCCCAAUCUCAAGGGAAGGGGCAGCCUCAAUAUCCAUUGAACUACACUCCUUCUCUCCAUCUGUUGUUCUCUGGCGUUAUCUGUUCAUGGGAAUCAGCCGGAGGGGAUUUCUCGAUCAAUGAUGAGGCUUUGGCACAGUUGUCACACAGAACACGAAGACACAAGCACAAAAAGAAGAGUUUUUAGCACACGUAACUUGAUUAGGAGAACCCUAAUUCCCAGGUUAACGGAGCAACACUGCCAUUCUUUAGUCUUAUCACACUAAACUGCUAUUCCUAUAAGAACGAGACGGAGCACGAGAACUCGAAUUACACUGCUGCGCGUCUUGCACUCUCUGUAAGGGAUGAAUUGUGACAGGGCGACCGCUGACCCUUGCCCGGGAGGAAUUCUUAAACCUGGCAAGCUAACUAAUUAGAAGAUUCAUUCUAUGGAACUCAACUCAAGAGAAGGUACGAUCACAGGGAUUGUGGUUGUUCACGCUACCAGAUGAGAAGAAGGAAUUCUACCGAACUUUUCACUCAGGCACGGGCGUCAAGGUCUUUGCUUGGCGUCUUGCCCACUUUCUUUUCUUUUUCGUGUGGAGCGCCUUUCCAUGCCACCAAUGGCAAAUGGUCUAGUCCCCAAGUUGGAAGAUUCGUCUACAAGUUCAAACCAAAGGUUCAGUUCAAAGCUAGGACUCAUCCCAAAGGCAAGGUCAAGGUUCAGUCCAACGCGAUGGGGUUAUUGUUCCGUGUCAGAAAGCUUCUUAUUCACUCACCCGAAUGCGAGAUCAUUUGCCAGAGCAGAUGGACGAAACCCGAACCAACGAACUCUACUUUCAAAGGAGUUCCCAUCCCUAGCUGACGAACAGCUCAACCUCUUCUUUCACAGAAAAACCUCUUGUUCCUCUCUCUUUGUUCAUUAGGUCAUGGUGUAACGGCUCGAAAUGCGCCAACGACACGACGGAAUUAUCUGCCGGUGCUUGAGAUUGAGUGAAAUGGGGUACCGGCUCGAAACUCGAAAUGCGAACACGAGUUUCCCCAUUAUCUGCCGCUCGUUUCCAUUAGAAGAAGGAAGGCCAAGGCGCUGCCAUUAAGAUGAAUGAGCAGGAACGGAACUUCCAUUCCACUGCACUGAACCUUCAACCAAGCUGGUCGGACUGAAGCAAAGGAUCAAUCACCUAGCCGGGCACUGCUUCUUGCUUAGUCCUAUCCCGAUUCUGGACCUAUGACAGCUCAACCAGGACUUAGAGAGGCGGCUAGCACUUUGAUUGAUCAGAAAGAACCUUCUUCAUGUGGAAGCAACAUCCGCUUAUAUUGCUCAUGCUUAGAUGGCUCAGCCGCCUGGGUAACUCCUAGCUCUUUCUCUCUAAAACUGAGGAGAAGCAACAAGUUUCAGGGGGCACUCCCGAACCCCGUUUUACACCCCGGACCCGAAGAACUGCUCUGCUGCUGGCCGAGUCACUCCUUGCUCUUUGCUUUUUUUGUGAUGGCAUGCUUCUUUAAUUCAAUCUUUCAUUUCAUUCAAUCGUCGAAAGAUUGAGCCUGUGUUCAGUUAUCGUGACUUACCUAAUAUAUCUCUUACGAUAUUUCAACUUAAGGGCCGGCCCCAGUAGGCUUUGACGGUUAUAGAUAGAAGUAGGAAACGUCAAUGAAAGCCUACAUUAGCGAGUAGCCAUAUUUAGGCGUAACUGACGGAACUACACUUGAUUUAGGAGCUAACGGAGGGUGUGAAACAGACUCCUGCCCCAUGGACAAAACUACACUAACGAGACGUAGGCUUAGUCAAGUCAAGCAAGAGAAAGAGCUUUAGCCGAGGGUUCCCUCGAUCAAACUCGAAAUUUCAUAAGAGAAGAAAUCUCGUAGCGUAGAAAAGAAAGGAGAAAUCGUUUUGAUUCGAGGCAGAUCCCUUUUUUGUUUGCCUUUACGAGUUGAGUAAACAAAUAAAAAAAAGUCUUCUCUUUGGAUAAAUCCUAUCUCUCGUCACAUAAGAGCGCACUAAAUAAAAAGGAGAAGCAGAAAGAGACGUCGUUUUUCGCGAUAAGCAAGAUAAGGUUCUUUCUAGUCUUCAUCUGAGCUCCGUCUUCUCGUAGAAUCCUCGCGCUUUAAGGGCAGGAGGUCGUAGAUCAAACUCCUUCUUUUUUAGUUCGACGCGUCUAUGGCUUUAGAGAAAUUCCUACUGUUGUUGCGGUUAGUGGCUUAGCGAUUCCAGCAGGAAAGUGACUUUUAGGCUCAGUUGACUUCUAGUCCCAUGCUCCAGGGCAAGCAGAUAGUAAGCGAGGCUUGAUCGGUAGGCAAGUGGCCGAAGAGGAAGGGAAUUCUGUAAGUGAAGAAAUUCUCUUCAUCACGAGAUCCGGUCUUCAAGCCAGCAACCAGAGCAGGAGUCAUCUUCUUAUCAGAGCGCAGACUAGCCACGGAGCUAGUCAAAAAAAAAGGGAUCAGAGUCAAUUGCGGUCGCCCUCAGUCAAGAUCAUGUACCCAUCUUCCUAUACUAAUCCAUACAUCCCUUCUCAGUCUAUGGACAGCUAUCUCUCUAGCCCAGUUGCGGAACCGAGAUCGAGAUCCAGGAGGACGACGUCGAAUUCUUCUUCCAUUUUGAGCUCAUCUACUACAGGAAUCUUCAACCUUCUCCUUCAAGGACUUCCUUUCCACCCGCAGGAGAAGGUACAAUCCAUCAAAUUGAUUCAUGAAGACAGUCAAUCUCAAUGUGCUGGUGAAGCAAAUCAUUCCCAUUUUCAGACAAAGAAGACGUGUAAAGAUCCCCUUUUCCAAAGGGACAAGCAAAAAAUCACCCUAGGCAGAAGACUCUUCAAUCUGCGGGUGGCAAACUCACUAAUGUCUCCUGCCUCUUGUGGACCUUCCUUCACUUAUUAUAUGAAAAUGGGGACUCUUUUUCUUUCUAUCCUGCGCUAAGGCUGGUUCGAAAUCCACUUCUUUCAUCAGGGAGAAUAAGACCACUUAGAUCAGGCUGAGCUACCUAAACUAGGGCCUCCAACGCCUAUAAGUUUGGAACUCUUUGAUUAUCUGAAAGUCAACUAUCUCCACCAUUCCGUUAUUCCCGUCUUCAAUCUCUUUCCAUCUCUGCCCUGCUCGGGGGCAUUUCUCUCCGGAGGGGACUCAAUUCAAGGAGGCAACUUUCGUGUAGACCAAAUCUCUAUCGCGAUUGAUUCCGUCCUAUUGUGGGCAGCUUCCUAACACCCCCUACUCCUAAGCAGUAAACUCAUCUUGCAUUUCUUUGCGAACAACAGAGGCAACCGAUUAUCCUCAAUUUUGUUCUAUCUACACUGAGUUACACUCAGCCUUCGAUCUUUCCACUCAUUCAUCAUAGUCAAAGUCGAAGCCACGGCAUGGGAGGCUCGGGAAAAGAAGGAGCUUUUUCGUCUUCACCGCCGACUUCCUUCGCUCAACUCGCUUACUUGAUAAAGAAAGUGACAACUGAACUAUAACUAUAUUAACCGACCUCACAGCCUAUAGUCAAAGAAGUUGAUUACCGUCUUCCUUUGUAGGGUCAAUCCCAGUAUAGCCGGUCUGACUCUCAGAGUUCGAUGUAGACGUGAACCCCUCACAAGGUUAGGUCUGAGGUAGGAAUCCCGAUUUUUUGUCCCUUAUUAAGUCGAAAGUCCUUCACAUUUUCACCAAUUCCGACAUCUACUUUUCUUUAUGGGAUGUCCCGGUCUGCCAAUGCAUAAAGAGAGAGCUUCCUCUUCGCAGAGAUUUCGCGGAAACCCAGCUAUAUCCGAUCUUGUAAGCGCCUAAUUCCAAGACAAUAAUGGACCUUCUUCAAUCCCAGUUUACGUAUCAGUCUAGUGUGACCAAGACAUGAACAAAGAACAAUUCCUCCCUUGCUUCGAGCACCCAAACCUCGAGCACGAGGGGGACUGAAAGCAGCAAAGAACGAGGAGAGAAUCAACUCGACUUAAAAGGAGAGGAGACGAAGGAGAAAGUCAGAUGGUAAAGGAUAGAGGACUGCAAAAUGGUGUGAUCCUGUGCUAAAAGAAGCUUUAUAGCUUUAUAGGGUGGACGGUUUUCGACUUUCUACCUAGAAUAAAUGAAUAGAAUUGUCUGAAAGAAUCGUAUAAUAGGAUAGAGUACGAGAAGGGGCUACUCUGUUAAUAUAAUAAUAUAGUAUAUCACAGCUAACGCACUCCUCUAUUUCCGAUACGCCUGUAAGCUCGCCUCAAUCUUAGACUUUGCCUUUAUAUGCUGAGCAGAAAAAAACUCUUUUACGGGCUAUUCUCCAAGCAGCACGACCUCGCUACCUCCCGAAGCUGCCUAGUCACACAAUGCAGUCGGAGCUAGAGACGAGGAUGGACCAGGCUUAUCCAGAAUCGACCAAGCUAAGCAAAGAGGAACCUCUUCCAAGCGGAGCAUCCACUAUGAGAAACAUGCUCCCUACAGCUACGAAGGAAGAAGAAGAUAGACAAUGCAGAGAAGCACCUAGACCAAGAGAGAGAAAGAAACUUUCCUCACUCAGAAAGGCCCAGACCACGCUGGGGAAAGAAUGGCACUUUACAACUAUUUCUUCUGCCUUAUAACGAGCUGGACUCGAACCAGCACUGCCAGAUUCGAAAAGAAUCAGGGUUCAACCUAAGAAUGAUCGUUAUUUGUUAACCCGGUUCGCCGAAAAGGCUACGUCCGGGGGGGCUUCUAUUAUAGUCCCCCCUUUUCCCCCUCCCCACCGUUCUACUUCUUGGAUAACUUUCACGGUCGCCUUGAAAAAGGCGCUCUCUUCCCCUUGCUCCUUUAUUUCGUUAAAUAGGGAAAGAAGUUGAUCCCAAUUCUUGCCAUCAUUAUUGGUGACAUGAUUGAUGGCCCAACGCCACCGAAGAGGGUGUGGUUGGUACGGAAAACUAUCCUUGGUCAUAUCUUGUAAUUGAUGGAUAAGGCUUUUCCGUAUUUCAGUACAGAGCGUCUCAUCUUUAUCUCUGUCCCUUUUCGGAAUUUUUCUUGCCUUAUUUUUUUUUCAUCUUUUUUUGGGGGGGUCCCAUCAGCACCACUACUUGAGCAGGCGACAGAAGAGGUUUUUCUCCGCUUCUGAUGCCGUUGUCCGGCAUCAGUUUCCAUGAAAAUAAUAAUUAUCAAGAUAAAGAUUGUACUACAAAUAAAAAGUAAUAUUUUAUCAUCGAAAUGAAAGGACUCGAAGGCAAAAUGGAUGGUGAUCAUAAGAAUAUAAUACAAUAUGUCCAUGUGUUUUUUUUUAUUCUUUUUCGGAAGCAAAGGGAAAAAAUAAUGCCUAAACUCUAAACUAAAGUCAAAGUCAAAGGGCUAAUCUGUUAUUUCUUCCAUGGCCCCUAGAAUGCCAAUAUUAGCACGGAUCGUACGGAAAUGUAACUCACUAUUCAAACAACUAUUCAGAGUUCCUAGAGCUCCUUGUAAGGCUUGUUGAAAAACUCGUUGUCGGACCUGAUUAAUCGCUCUUUGUUGUUCAAAAUGAAGGGUUUCAUUUUUGUAAUUUUCUAAUCGUUCCAAAGUGUCACAAGUGGCAUUAAUCAAAUUUUCUUUUUCUCGUUCUAUCUCAGAGUAUCCAUUCAUUCGAUACUCAUCUGCUUCUAUUUCCACUUUCCGUAAGCGAGUCCUGGCUCUUUCGAGCUGCUCAAUGGCCCCUCUACGUAAUUCUUCCGAAUUUCGAAUAGUACUCAAGAUCCUCUGUUUUCGAUUAUCUAAUAAAUCAUUUAAUGAAAGUAGAUUAUCUUACCAUUAAUUUCACAACUUCCAUAAUCUCUUCCCGAACCAAACAUGAAUCUUUCGAUUCAUUUGGCUCUCACGCUCAAUUAUUUAUUUUAUGUUAUGGGCAUUCCCAUAUCUUUUUUUUUAAUGUAAUGAGCCUACCCUCUCUUUUCUGUUUAUAUUCAAAAACAUCGAAACUGAUAUAAGACCAGAAUAUUAGAAGGACUCUUCCGACCAGACAAAAAUCUAUAAUUGUCAGCAAAGUUCUUUCUUUAUUUGUAUUUGUUCUUUAUUUCAUUUGAAAUUGAAAUUUACAAUUUAUUUCGAUAUUUUUUUUUUCCACUUUUUUUCUUCAAAUCAAAAAAUUCCUAUUUUUUUUUUACGUAGGUCGUCGAUUCGGCAUUGGAAAAAAAAAAAUAGCAAGAUGCCCAUUUUUUUAAUAAAUGGUUCAAAUAAUUUUAUCGAUAUGAGUGUUCUAUAUCAGAUAAAUUACCCACUAUUCAUUUUGAAACCAUUUCGGUACGUUAGUACCGGUAGAAAGAGUACCAUGUUUUGCCUGGACUUCAAACAGUUUAGCUUUAACCAUGUUAAUGGUCUCACAUUAUUGGUUGAUAGAGAAUCCAAUUUACCAAUAAGUCACGAAAUGCUAUGGUUCUUACAUAUGAUUUCUUAAUUUAUUCAGAAAUAAUUCGUUGAGAUCGUGCACUUUUUUUCCUAUUUAUCCUAUAAAAUUAAUAAAAUACCAUAAAUAAAGUGCAGUCGGAUGGAUCCAACCUAUUCUUGAAAUACACAACUCGCACACACUCCCUUUCCAAAAAAAAUUAAUACACCAAGCACUACACUUAGAUUUAUUGGAUUUGUUGCUAAAAUAUCGGUAUUAAACCCGAAACUCCCGGCGGAUGGCCAGUGACCCAAGGAAAGGAAAGAAUCGGUUACAUUUUUCAUAUGCUCUCCUCUUAUAGAUAGGACUAACAAAGAACAGAGUUCUUUUUGUAUCACUUCGUCGUCCCUUUUUUGAUCGAUUUCUUUUUAUUAUAUAAAUUUGAUUUCCAUUUUUUUUUUAAUGGGAGUAGAUUAAAUCUAGUAAUUGAAUUUGAUAGUUUUGAAAUUUCUUACUUGAAGUUUCCAAUCCAAUAAAAUACUUAUUAGGUUAAGUCUUGGGUCUCAUGUCAAUUGUGAAAUAUCUCGUUUGUUGAAACGAUUCCUAAAAAAAGUCAAAAAAAGGUUUCCAUUGUACUAAACUAAGUACGCGAAGGAAGAAAACGAGCGGAUCCAGUAAUUACUCAUCCUCAAAACAGUCCUUCCUUUCCUGGAGUAUUGUCUCAACAAAUAAAUAAUUGUAGGAGUAAAGCGUUGAUAUAAUUAGAAGAAGCAAACUGCAAUUCUGAGUUAAUAAAAUAAGAAAAAAGUAUAGCGAGUGAAAUUCAAAAAAUAAGAAAAAGGCUUGGCAGCGAAAUUUUCCAAGGAGCAACUUCCUUAUUAGGAGGUUCCCCUAUUGAUAUUUAAUCACUCUCAAACAGGGGUGGCGGGUGGGUACAGAAAGACUAAUCCAAUCUUUUAAUUCAACAAGAAGUACCACCAGUGUGACCAGUGUGAUAGAAUGCGAUUCCGAGUGAUAAGACGUAGGAUAGAAGGUAUAGGAUGGAACCGAAUCGAGCCUACGGGGAAGUUGCUCCUUAGAAUGCCAAACCAAAUUAGAAGCAAGCAAGGCUUUCUUUUCUUGUAGUCGGGGAAAGAAUCCCGGGGUUGAUGCUGAACCAAUUCUUCCAUUCCAGAGCCCAGAGGAAGAAGAAAUAACAUUCCAUGCUGCGAGGCAUCGCUGAUAACAUCGCCUGUUGUACAGUUGCUUUAGCCUAGGAGCCAACCUAGCUAAGGCAAUAUCCCAAAGUAGGGGCAGCUAACUGUGUAGAUAGAUGCUCUUUCCUCUUGCGGGAAAGCUAUUCCUUGAGUUGAGAUACUACUGCUUAGAUUAGAUGGUUAGCUUAGUAGAUGCUUUCUUGUAGCUCUACCAUUUAAAAAGCACUUCUCUUGCGUUCUUGAGUUAGUUUUUUGUCUUGUAGCUACUACCGAUAUGCUAUGCAAGUGGUAGAAGUGAUGCUAUUAAUUCAGUGCUAAGCACUCAGCGCGCUCAGGGCUUGGAAGACUCUUCGCUAGCGAGGCAGCUAUUACAGAGGAAGAAUAAGAGGGAGGGGUACCAAGGAGACAAAGACAACUAUGUAAGGCUUAGACCUUGCGUAUACUGCUUCUCCUUUGGGUAGCUUUCUCUUCAAGCACUCUUGCCUUAAGAAGGAAGGGUUAGCUAUGUUUCAAGCACUCCUUCUUGAAAGAAAACAACUCAAAAGAGUCUUCCCAUUCAAGCACUACUUGUAGCUACCUAUCCCGACAACUACUAAACGCUAUGAAAGUAAUAUAACUGCUCUAUAGCUAGAAAGCGUGCUCCUACUAUACUAUAUUAUAUAUAAAGCGGCUGGAAAAGCCAUACAACUGUUAUGCCUGCAAUGAACCUGCUAUGAAAACGAUACACCUGUUCUACUGACCUGUGGCUCUACCAUUUGUAGAGAAGAAAGAAGUCACAACACAAAGGAAAGCUUAAAAGAACAACUACUUGAUAAGGUGUUGCUAAGAGACAAUACAAAGUAAUAAAGCAGUUAUUCCAGUAACACACCAGCUAUGCUAUGAAAGUGGAUGUAUAGGCCUCCUUUCCCAUACCCAAUCCAAGAGAGCAUCCUAGUGGGCCUCUUUGUUGGCGGUGAAGCAAGCAAACGUCUCAUUUUGUUCAUUGCGAGGUUAAGAAAGGGAGCCAAUCCGCGGAGUCAUUUUUCUCUAUGAAUUGGAUAUUUCAUUUAGGUAAUGCCAAGGUUGAUUCACCGAACGGAAGGAAAAGGGUGUGGGUCAAUCCAAAGACCGGGACUUUUCCCUGACUGGCCUGAUUGGACCGCUCUGCCUACUGGGCCUGGCUACCCCGCAACUUACCGCUUCAAAGCCCUAUCCUUGGCUACCGCUUGCUUGCUCACUGCCCUUGCUGCUGCUAGCUUUCUGGCUACUGGACUACUUGCUUGCGGCUGAAACCGGCUUUCUUGGCUAUGCUACUUUGCUACCGGCAGGACUGCUGCUACGACUACAUGCGCAUCUAGUGCAGUGGCUUGGAAGCAAGCUACCUUGACCAUCUUCCGAAGUUCUAAAUAAUAUACUGAUCAAAGUUCCGUCACGGACUGCUCUACAUUCAGCCACGCCACAGUGACUUCCGAAGCGCUACGGACGGGACGAAAUCCGGCAGCUUAUUGCUGGCUCUGAAUAACCAGCCCAGCAAUAAGCUAAAUUCUUCCAUAACAUAACGGGGCGAGGUUGCGCGCGAGCCGAGUGACGUAGGUGCACAAGAGUACUUCGCGCCACAACCAUCUCUUUUUUAUAGGUUCUACGGACCGAUGCCUGCUGCUUCAUCUGGUAGAAAAGAUUCAUAGAUAUGCCUGUAAUUAGAAGGAAGAACCGCCAUAAAAAUCUUCCUCGUGUAUCGUCUGUAGCAGAACUAUGAACGGGAGCUAGCAAUCCGGACCGUAUUGAAAAGGUUCCUGAGACACAGCAUGGAAGAGUCAAAAUAUUAAGAAGCGAGAUCCAAGAAUGAAGAAGGGGUAGAAUUACUGAAUGAAUACGAGCUGUGGCUAAUACCCGAGGCAUAAAAGAGGCAUUUUCUACGGGAUCCCGAAACCACCAGCCACCCCGACCUAAUUCAUGAUGAGCCCACCAACUUCCUGGCGAGAUGCCUACGGUUAAAAACAACCGACAUGUCAAGAUCCAAAUUCGAAUUGGUUCCUGGUCCUGGUCAGAGACCACUGUGUUCGCGCCGGCGGUCCAACAAAGAGGCGAAGUCGUGGUCUCUUUCUUUCCAUUACGAACGACACGCUUCGCCUGCUCCCUCCCCGUGUCCAUUAGCGCUCCUGUCCAGAGCGAAGAGAAGGCGAAAAAGCGCCGCCGAAGCAGCAUGAGCAGGCUUCUAUUGCUACGCAACAAUAGAGCAGGUGCGCCGCCCACAAAAUGUUUGAAUGAUCGGGUAAAGAGCGAGCUUCUUAUAUGGGAUCCGACGCAUCCAGCAGAGCGAAGCAGCCUUCCAUUCUUUUCGGCGGCAUCCUUCCGCAUUGGCGGCGAGUGGAGUGCCACAAUCCCAUUCAUCAUUUUUGAUCUACAUAAGCCAAAGCCCAUAGCACUGGCGACGUCUCCGGCAUAAAUGCGAGGAGGAUGUAUAGCUGAUAGAGGAUCUUGUGGAACAGGAUUUGAUUCUGCAAGCGGUUCGGUACGAACGAAGAAAUUUCGAACAAAAGGAUCGGAACUCGCUGAUAGGAAAGGAGAGAAAAACAAAGCAAUGCCAAGAGCUCCGUCAAUCCGCUGUUCUUCGAUAGACGAAGCUCUCUCUUUUUCAUCUCGUGCCAGAUGCAACAAAAGAUUAGUCCUUUUUCCUUCUCGCGAACCACGGGAGCGCCCAGCGCCCAGAAGAGCAAAGCUCAUUUUCCUUCCAGGGUAAAGCGGCGCAUAAAAAAGGGCUGGCCCGUCAAAAGUCCGGUUCCUUCGCGAACGAAGUUCAGAAUCAACAAGGGUUCGUAGAACGAAGGGAGUGUACAACUGGGGCGCAGCCCCACUUUUUUGUUGGAGAGAUAGAAUGGAGUUCUUCACGAAGUUCGAGACAAAGGAAAAAAGAAAAGUUUCUCUAUAGCCUCUUCGUUUUGAGACAUUAUGGCUUUGGGGUCGACCCCGGUAACAAAGAAGGAAUCCAUAAAAAAAAGGGAUCCAACACCAUGAUAAAAUACUACCCUCAUGAUUAGACCAUGUCCCUGAAAUUUGAUAAAAGAAAGGUGCAUUAGCGGUUAAUACGUUGUAAUUGGAUAAGUUAUUAGGAAUAUGACGGAACGAAAGACCAAGGAAAGGAAUAAGAAUGCACCAAAAUGCAGGUGCUGCACCAAACGCUGGUGGUUCUUUCUUGUUGUAAGUGAAUGCAACGAAAAGACCCGGAAAUAACGAAUAAUGAGAGAAUUCAUUUAUAGACAUUUCGUGCUCAUUUCAAAAUUUCUGCUUUGUUAUUCCCAUCAUCCGGUAACCACAGGAUGAUCCCAAUCUCCUUUUAGUAAUAGAUCUUUUUGAUAUGUCUCAGUCUCCGCGGCAAGGAAGAGAAAAUGCAUCGAGUCCUUUAUCAAGAAAGUGGACGAGCAUGGUGGUCCCUAUAUCUCUGAGGGGUGUACCACUGUAGUAGUUUUCAAGUCAGCUUAAGAGAGAGCUCGGCUCAAAAGAAAAAGUCACUCUCUUUAUUCUUUGCUAGUGGAAUGGAAGCAAGACUCUUUCCUAUCCACUUUGCCGAGGAGAGAGAA